AAAUUGUUUAAAAGAGCGAUUAUUGUCUAUAUCAAACAUUAGUUUUGCAAAGUAGCUUACUGAUAACGUUUGAAAUAAAAUUUUGUCUAAAAACUGACGAGUUAUUAAAAAAAAGUGUUAAAAUUGCACAGAACUUGAUCUUCAAAAAAAAUUUGACGAAUAAAAGUAAAUUAAAAAUCCAUUCAAUAUGAAUUCAAUUAUUUUGAUUACAAUGCUCUUGGCGGUUUUGUGUGCAUCAGUAAAUGCUAGAAUUUAUGGUGGUGUAUUUAGACAUCCUGAACAUCCAGGAAAGUGCCAUUUCGGCAAAGAUGUGGUCCUCGAAAGUGGACAGAUUUCAAGGAAACACAAUGGGGAAUGUGCAAUUGUUACUUGUUUUGAUAACGGGCAUGCUUCAAUCAUGAAAUGUGUGCCACAAAAAAUGCGUGAGGGAUGUCAUGAAGGAAAGGUACUUCAACCAGACGCUCCUUAUCCAGAAUGUUGCACACGUGAAAUUUCGUGCAAGGAUCAUUAUUAUUCAAGAUAAAAAAAAAAUCUUUAAAAUAAGGACACAUAAUUGUACUAUAUAUUUAUAUUUAUAAGAUAGGGUAAGAGCAUGACUGAUACGCUUAAAUUAUUAAUAAAUUAAUAAAAGAAACUGUAUAAGAAAAACGUUAA